rnacentral:rRNA from 1 species
GAUGAACGCUGGCGGCGUGCCUAAUACAUGCGAGUCGAGCGAACAGGCGAGGAGCUUGCUCCUCUGACGUUAGCGGCGGACGGGUGAGUAACACGUGGAUAACCUACCUAUAAGACUGGGAUAACUUCGGGAAACCGGAGCUAAUACCGGAUAAUAUAUUGAACCGCAUGGUUCAAUAGUGAAAGACGGUUUUGCUGUCACUUAUAGAUGGAUCCGCGCCGCAUUAGCUAGUUGGUAAGGUAACGGCUUACCAAGGCAACGAUGCGUAGCCGACCUGAGAGGGUGAUCGGCCACACUGGAACUGAGACACGGUCCAGACUCCUACGGGAGGCAGCAGUAGGGAAUCUUCCGCAAUGGGCGAAAGCCUGACGGAGCAGCGCCGCGUGAGUGAUGAAGGUCUUCGGAUCGUAAAACUCUGUUAUUAGGGAAGAACAAAUGUGUAAGUAACUAUGCACGUCUUGACGGUACCUAAUCAGAAAGCCACGGCUAACUACGUG